UUUUUUUAUCCUGGCAAUCGGAAGAUUUUGGCAUGGUUGAUCUUUACGGGACCGAGUGAAAUAAAACCGUUUUGUGAAAUUAUUAUGAAAAUGGAGUGGAAACCUGAACAGGAAGGGCUAAGACAAAUUCUAACGCUUCUUAAGGAAUCACAGUCACCAGACACAGCCACACAAAGAGCUGUCCAACAAAAAUUGGAGGAGUUGAACAAAUAUCCGGACUUCAACAACUAUUUAAUUUUCGUUUUAACAAAAUUAGUUACCGAAGAGGAGCCCACAAGGUCUUUGAGUGGAUUGAUUUUGAAAAACAAUGUGAAGGCCCACUACAACAAUUUCUUGCCUGAAGUGGCUGAGUUUAUAAAACGGGAAUGUUUGUCUGCGGUAGGCGAUCCCUCGCCACUGAUUCGCGCCACUGUGGGCAUUAUCAUAACCACUAUAGCUAGCAAAGGAGAGCUCACUUCAUGGCCUGAACUGUUGCCUGCACUGUGCCAGAUGCUUGACUCUCAAGACUACAAUGUUUGUGAGGGGGCUUUCGGAGCACUACAAAAAAUAUGUGAAGACACCGCAGAGAUCCUAGACAGUGAUGCAUUGAACCGACCAUUGAAUAUUUUAAUACCAAAGUUCCUGCAAUUCUUCAGGCAUUCAUCACCUAAAAUCAGGUGUCAUGCAAUUGCAUGCGUCAACUAUUUCAUUACAGGCAGAACUCUAGCCCUGAUGAUGCACAUUGAUGCAUUUAUUGAGAACCUGUUCCACUUAGCAGCUGACGAGGACCCAGAUGUCCGGAAGAAUGUUUGUCAUGCACUGGUGUUGCUAUUGGAAGUCAGACUGGAUAGACUCAUUCCUCACCUCCCCAAUAUUAUUGAGUAUAUGUUGGUGCGCACACAAGAUGCUGAGGAAGGCGUGGCUCUGGAGGCGUGCGAGUUUUGGCUCUCCCUUGCUGACCAAAAUGUCUGUCGUGAGGUGCUGGGCCCGCGACUGCCGGCGCUGCUGCCGGUGCUGGUCCGCGGCAUGCGCUACUCGGAGAUGGACGUGAUCCUUCAGCGCGGCGACCGCGAUGACGACGCCGACGAGGCCGAGCCCGACCGCGACUCCGACAUCCGCCCGCGCUUCCACAAGCCGCGCUCGCACUCGCUGCGCCACAACGCCGGCGCUGGCGAUAGCGCAAUGGCCGGCGGCGGCGACUCCGACUCCGAGUCCGAAGCUGGCGACGCCGACGACGGCUCGCUCUCCGACUGGAACCUCCGCAAGUGCAGCGCCGCCGCUCUCGACGUGCUCGCCAACGUGUUCGGCGCGGACCUGUUGCCUGUGCUGUUCCCCAUCCUGAAGGAGACGCUAUUCCACGAUGACUGGGUCAUUAAGGAGAGCGGCAUCCUGGCGCUGGGGGCAGUGGCAGACGGCUGUAUGGCGGGUAUGGUGCCGCACCUGCCCGACUUGGUGCCGUACCUGGUGUGUUGCAUGGCGGAGCGCAAGGCGCUCGUGCGCGCCAUUACCUGCUGGACGCUCUCCCGGUACUCGCAUUGGAUCGUGUCGCAAAGCCAUGACCUCUAUCUGCGACCCGUCAUGACAGAGCUAUUAAAACGAGUACUGGACAACAACAAGCGAGUACAAGAGGCGGCGUGUUCUGCGUUCGCGACGCUGGAGGAGGAGGCGUGCACGGAGCUCGUGCCGUACCUCGGCUACAUCCUGCAGACGCUCGUGUACGCGUUCAGCAAGUACCAGCACAAGAACCUGCUCAUACUGUACGACGCGAUCGGCACGCUCGCGGACUCGGUCGGACAUCACCUCAACAAGCCCGAGUACAUCAGCUUGCUGAUGCCUCCUCUCAUAAACAAAUGGAACGUACUCAAAGACGAAGAUAAAGACUUAUUCCCAUUACUUGAGUGCCUAUCGUCAGUGGCGACGGCGCUGCAGUCCGGCUUCUUGCCGUACUGCGAGCCGGUGUUCAGGCGGUGCGUGUCGCUCAUAGAGCAAACACUCAAUCAGAACAUAGCAAACAGUCAAAGUCCAGAGCAGUUUGAGGCGCCGGACAAAGAUUUCAUGAUAGUGGCAUUGGACUUAUUGAGCGGCUUGGCGGAAGGAUUGGAUGGACACAUUGAUCACCUCAUUUCCAAUUCCAAUUUGAUGCAGCUCUUGUACCAGUGCAUGCAGGAUCCAAUGCCUGAGGUGCGCCAGUCAUCUUUCGCAUUACUAGGAGAUUUAACUAAAGCGUGUUUCCAACACGUAUUGCCGUACAUACAAGAAUUUUUACCGAUCCUCGGAAUGAACUUAAAUCCAGAAUUAAUAUCAGUUUGUAAUAAUGCGACGUGGGCAAUAGGCGAAAUUAGUAUUAAAUUAGGACCGGAAACAUCAAAAUAUAUACCUCUAGUGCUAAAUCAUUUAGUCGAAAUCAUUAACAGGCCCAACACACCGAAGACCCUUUUGGAGAACACAGGUGCACGUAUUUGCGUAACAUCCGAGACAACGACGAGAAAGACUCUGCGUUCCGUGGCAUCUGCCAGAUGAUCCAGGUGAACCCGGGCGGCGUGGUGCCGGACUUCAUGUUCUUCUGCGACGCGGUGGCCUCGUGGUCGCAUCCUAAGGACGAUCUUAAGGAGAUGUUCACCAAGAUCCUGCACGGGUUCAAGAACCAAGUGGGCGAGGAGAACUGGCGCCGCUUCACCGACCAGUUCCCCGUGCAGCUCAGCGCACGACUCUCGGCCAUGUGCGGCAUAUAGAAACGAUCACUUCGUCAUGGGGAUUCAAUGUCAGCACGGGUCGGGAAGACAUUGCGGGUGUCCGCGGCCGCGGCGCCCGAGAGCGUAGGGACUCGUCACGAUGUUCGCCGGUCGCCGGCCUCGCUUCUGCCGCCACGAGCCACAAUAUGUGCCAACACCUGUGACCUCACUACAAUAGCGAGGAUAUUUUUCCGAUUUGUACCUAACGUCGAAUGUGUAGCUUAGAUUGUGAAUUGUUACACUUACUUUCCGUUCGCUUUGAUGAUUGCGUGAUAGCGGCGAUUCCACUAAGUUCGCGUCGAGAUGUAAGCGCUAGGUGGACUAGUGCAGUGCACGGAGUAGCCCUGUCUCGUACAACUCGGGUGCACUCGGGUGUACUCGGGUGUACUCGGGUGCACUCGGGCAAGGCUUGCUGUAUUCGCACCGCGUAAUGCCAACGCAGCACAUUGCAUGCUUGCGAGCCUGUUUGUUUUGGAUUUGAUCGUAACGAGUGUAACUCAUUGGCCUGUAGUUGUAGUAUUCUCACCAAUUAUUUAAAAGCGGUGAUUCAGCUACAAAUGUCAUACACGUGGCAACUUAUUACAUAAAUUUAAUUGCAUGAAACUUAGUGAUAGUUGAUAGUUUGUAAACGCGGUAAAUGAGACUCGCGUAGUUUGUUUUCGAUUGACCACUUUUGAUUUGUAGAUAAGUUAUCAGCAAAAAUAAAUCUAUACUACUUAACACACAACAAAGGGAAAUAUUCCAGUAUUCGAUUGGUAAAAACUCGCUUAGUAGUAAUCUAUAAAUAAUGUGAAAGUGUACAGUAGGCACAACGAUUGCAUUCGACUGCGACGUUUAGCUGUACUGACGUGCAAUUCAGGCUUAUACACCUCAUAGUCUUGCAUAUACAAUUCGAGCAAUAAUAAAUUGUUGUUAGUCGCAAGUUAUAACUUAAAUUUAUUUAGAAACAAGGUAAAAUAACCGAAGAGUGUUUAAAGCGAAGUUCCGUUCUGUUUGUGAGUGUAGGUUGGAGGGCGGAGCAGCAACGAACAGCAAACACGCGCUGAGCCCGCUGCCGAUCGCACUCGCCGUACAAUAUGAUAAUGAUUAGCAUUUAGGUUAACCGAUCCUGUUCACUGCUCAAUCUUACGACAGCACGUGUUCAUUUUCAAGUUUCACUAACAUUUGCAAAUAAGGAAGCUCUUAUAAUAUGAACGUAGUUCACAAGUCUUUAACACCUAACACCGAGCAGUUUUUUGACGUUAGACAUGUUUGUCAAAAAGCAUUUAUUUAUAUCUCCACUAGAGCUCUUCAGACAUCUAUUUUGGUAGGUGUUUAAAAUUUAUGUGUUAAUUAUUAUUUUAUAUAAAUUACAAGACUUAGUGAAAUCGAGAAUUUAUGUCAACUGUGAUUUGUGACUGGUUUUUUUUGACUAAUAUAUUUACGAUUACAUGUCUGUGUCUGUGUAGAUAUGAUAUAUACGGCUUUGAUAGAUUUUAUGACGGCUAGAUUUCUGCUAUAUAAUAUACCAAAUAGUAUUUUUAUGUUGUAUAUUGUUUAAUGGAUUUGUACGUUGAGUUGGCCUCGCUGCAUCGACUAGUUGUGUAUCGAGUAUCGAUACGCCCGCCGUCGCUUUGACGAUCGCCGCACAGUACCGUGUGGUGAUUAUCGUUCGCUUGUAAUAGAAAAGAUAAUAUCGCAGCAACUGCUAAUGCGUGAUGCGUCACAUCGUACAAUUAUACAUCGAUGUCGAUAUAUCGACAGUCGAGUCGACGUGGACAACUUGUUUGAUUGGUAUAAAGUACUAUUUACAUGUAUAUUUAAUGAAAGUAAUAUUAUGUAUAUGUAAAUACAUUUGCGAUGUAUAUUAUUAUAUUCAAGUAAAUUGUUAUUUUUUUGUUUUUAAACGCUAAAAGUCUGACUUUAAACACUUGUUAUAACGUCAUUUGGUUUUUCAGAUAAAUGGGAUCUGAAAUGGUGUAGUUCAUAUUAUUUAUGGACAUUAUUAGUCUACAAAUUUCAAUCGUAGCGUUAGGGUUCAAUAUUAUAGUAUGAUUUUCGGGGAUAUAAGAAAAUGUAACAUUCCGCUAAAUCCAAAUUUUAUUUUUGGCAAUAUCUAUCAUGAGUUUUUUUUGUUUUCAAUUUUCUAUGUUCACUGUUGUACGCUUAUGGAUACACGGAGAAGCAUUCUGGGUGUCGAUUUAGCACGAACAUGUUGAGUGAUACGUUAUUUGUACGCGCAGAUACCUUAGUAGUCUAGUUCCCUGAUUCCUGUGCGAUUCCUCUCCCAGCUCCUGUCUAGUCCUGAUCCUUGUAAUGUGCCAACGAAGCCCUGAUGGCGUGCAGGUGAAUGCGUACCAUUGCCAUACACUGCUCGAGGACAUGUGAUGUCUGCGGGCGUUGCGAUUCGAGUUUCAUUCAAGUCUCGGUACCCGUAGGAACAAACCUAAAUUGUAGUAACUCAGCGCUGGCUUUUGGACAAAUUUAACAAAAUAUUGUUUAUAUUUUAAGUAGAAACGAUUUUUACAAAUGUUACGGGUGACCUCGUAAUAUAUAUUUAAGGUAAGUAGAUUUUAUCAUCUUGGUUUUUUUUUAUUGAUAAUAGUUUGAUUUUCCUAAAAAGCAGCAGUGAUAAUAGUUGUUUAAGUGAUGCGUGCAUGUUGUGUGAGUGAGAUGGCAUCGUGAGGCACUCCCCUCCUUGAGGCACUAGGUAUAUUGUGAUUUGUGAAAUAUAGUUGUAUGGUACGAACGAACAUUUGUGAUGCAUUGUCGAUAUAAUUAUAGGUUGUUUGCGUCGCAUAUUAUAGCUGUCAUAAUUUGUGUUGUGGAUAAAUUUAUAAUAUUCGAGAUUGCAUAGUAUUUUAUUAAAUAUAUAUUACGUUGUCGAUGUACCUACGCGAAUACUCAAACCUUUAUUAAAUGUUUCUUAAAAUAUGACUGCAAUAACUUCUUGUACUUAUAAUGUAUUAGUAUAAUAGUGUAACUGCAAAAUAUAUACGUGUUCAUAGGCGUAAUAUUCUUUGAAAUUGUUGAAUAUAUCAUUAUUAUAAUAUAGAAAAACAUUUUAUAUUCACCGAUCGAACAAUUAGGCUGCUUCCAUCGACAUUUGUGCAGGCAUAUCGACAAUGACACGCCCAUCUCAUCAUCAGUCAAAACUAUUCUUGUAUUGUUUUGUCAUUUUUAUUAUGUAUAUUUUAUUUUAAAACAUGGAUUUAUCAAAUUAUACAAAUCUAUAUGUAUUUCUAUUAUAAUUACGUAUUAUUUACGUGUCACUUCGCUACCAUUCUGAACGUUAAGAGUUGUGUGGCGCCCUCUCGCGCUCGUCUGCCGUGAGAGGGCUUUGGCAAUGAUCACAUUAUUAUUGUAAAUCUCGUGAAAGAUGUAACAAUCACUUCACAUCCAUGAACCUAUGUCUUGUAUAAUUAUGUUUUAAAUUGUUGUAACAAUGUAACAUUUCAUUAACAUGUCACACAAAAUUUAUAAAAAUGAGUACAGAUAUUAUGUGAGCACAUAACCACACCCUACCUGACUACCUCUGUCUGCCUAAACCCUUGUUGAAAGGACGGCUUGAUGGACGAUAGCAUCUGCAUGCAGUACCUCCCGGGAGUUUUACUAACGUAUUAACAUUCCAUGUACUAUUUGUACUCAUUUUUAAACAUGUCGUGCAGUAAUGUAAACAGCCGUUUAUCAUGUUUUGAGUUCUGGUUGUAAUAAAUUGACCUCACAGUAGACAUUCUUUUACCAUACAUUUCGUUAAUAAAGCACUCAUUGUUCGAA
rnacentral:misc_RNA from 1 species